rnacentral:rRNA from 1 species
GACGAACGCUGGCGGCGCGCCUAACACAUGCAAGUCGAACGGAGCUAUAUUGAAAGCUUGCUGGAUAUAUAGCUUAGUGGCGGACGGGUGAGUAACACGUGAGCAACCUGCCUUUCAGAGUGGAAUAACGUUUGGAAACGAACGCUAAUACCGCAUAAUGUCAGAGGACGGCAUCGUUCUUUGACCAAAGAUUUAUCGCUGAAAGAUGGGCUCGCGGCCGAUUAGGUAGUUGGUGAGAUAAUAGCCCACCAAGCCGACGAUCGGUAGCCGGACUGAGAGGUUGAACGGCCACAUUGGGACUGAGACACGGCCCAGACUCCUACGGGAGGCAGCAGUGGGGGAUAUUGCACAAUGGGGGAAACCCUGAUGCAGCGACGCCGCGUGAGGGAAGAUGGCCUUCGGGUUGUAAACCUCUGUCUUCGGGGACGAAUAAAUGACGGUACCCGAGGAGGAAGCCACGGCUAACUACGUGCCAGCCGCCGCCGUAACAC